ACUCCUACGGGUGGCUGCAGUGAGGAAUAUUGGACAAUGGGUGGAAGCCUGAUCCAGCCAUCCCGCGUGCAGGAAGACGACCCUAUGGGUUGUAAACUGCUUUUGUAUAGGGAUAAAUCAUCUUACGAGAUAGGAUGUUGAAGGUACUAUACGAAUAAGCAUCGGCUAACUCCGUGCCAGCAGCCGCGGUAAUACGGAGGAUGCGAGCGUUAUCCGGAUUCAUUGGGUUUAAAGGGUCCGUAGGCGGGCUAAUAAGUCAGUGGUGAAAUCUCACAGCUCAACUGUGAAAUUGCCAUUGAUACUGUUAGUCUUGAGUGAGUUUGAUGUUGCUGGAAUGUGUAGUGUAGCGGUGAAAUGCAUAGAUAUUACACGGAACACCGAAUGCGAAGGCAGGUAACAAAGACUUAACUGACGCUGAUGGACGAAGGCGUGGGGAGCGAACAGGAUUAGAUACCCUGGUAGUCCACGCAGUAAACGAUGCUAACUCGUUUUCGGGGUGAAGAACUUCGGAGACCAAGCGAAAGUGAUAAGUUAGCCACCUGGGGAGUACGUUCGCAAGAAUGAAACUCAAAGGAAUUGACGGGGGCCCGCACAAGCGGUGGAGCAUGUGGUUUAAUUCGAUGAUACGCGAGGAACCUUACCAAGGCUUAAAUGCAUUUUGACGUACCCUGAAAGGGGUAUUUCUUCGGACAGGAUGCAAGGUGAUGCAUGGAUGUCGUCAGCUCGUG
rnacentral:rRNA from 1 species